rnacentral:antisense_RNA from 1 species
AAGAUACUGUUGCCCCAAGUAGAUAUCAUAACUUGUUACAAUAAGUAAAAAUGUAUAUUAUUCAAUACUAAACUGUUAUACCACAUUUCAAGUUUUUAAAACUUUAUCUUCCUUUUAUGCAUAGAUAGUAAUAGAGCAUUAAGAACAUGCAUGGCUAUCACCUGAGGUGUUGAUUGUAAAUUCAAAUUCCUAGGCUUUGUCUCUUAACUACUGAAUCGGAAUCUUUGGGAGUGAACUGACAGGAAUCUGAAUUUUAAAAAUAAGGUCUUCAGGUGAUUCUUAUGCAUCUAAAGAUAACUGCUUUAAUAUAUAACAAAGAAACCCAAAGAGGGACACUUGAGGAUUAUUUCAAUAUAUCUUCUUUUGCAGAGAUUAAUAGUGAAUGUUGUCUUAUCUGCUGUUCAGAAUUUUACAUAUGCAUUGGAUGAUACAUCUUCUUUUACUGACAAAAAGGCUUUUCUCUGGAGAAAAUAAAAAGGCAGCUUUCCCUGAGAGCACACACUUCUAGCAAAGCCCCAAUCCAUAUGACUCUAAGACAGAGUGAUUUCCACCUUCUAGUCCUUACUCUCUUGCAAAAGGGGCUUUCAAAUCUCAUUACUGAUGGUCCCAUCUUUUAUUACUGGUGUUAUCAAUGGGAUGCUUGCAGCAGCUUAAGUAUGUGGAUAAAGAAGGAAUGCACAAUAUACAGUACUGAAUAUUUUUAAAAAGUGGUCUUUCAGAAUAUGUCUGUAUGUGUGGGGGCCCAUGCUUAGGCAUAUGUGCAUGCCAGUGUGUUAUUUAUGUUGAAACCAAUGUUUUACAUUAAUGGCUGGAAUUCCAGAAAAACAAGAAAAUAGUUGUAUUUUCUAAACCACUAAAAGUUUAGUGGAACUCA